GGAUGUGAGAGUGAUCUUCCUAUGACAUCUGUCACCCUACUGAUGACUGGGGUUGAUUCAGCUGAUCUGGCUGGCUAGGCAGGUGUCCCCUUCCUCCUUCACUGUUCCGUGUGCAUCCCUCCCCAAACUAUGCACUUGGGUGAAGAUUACUUUUCCUGAUAGAGAAGGGGAUGGUUCUUUAGUCAAGGGCAUAUGAGUAGCUAUGUUCUCCUGCUAAAACCCCCAAACAAGCUCUCAAGUGUGCUAGGUUUUUCUUCAUGUAUUUGGGGGCUUUGUUGUAAAGUGCUUUUAUGAAUGUAGUUGUUGUACACCUUCUAGAUGUAUUUAGCAUUUUUUCUUUAGGA
rfam:Otolemur garnettii contig002045, whole genome shotgun sequence.